AGACGCAUGUCUAGAGUUUAAAAGAUGGUUCUGCUAUCACUCUUGGAUGGACCUGCGGUGCAUUAGCUAGUUGGUAAGGUAACGGCUUACCAAGGCAAUGAUGCAUAGCCGAGUUGAGAGACUGAUCGGCCACAUUGGGACUGAGACACGGCCCAAACUCCUACGGGAGGCAGCAGUAGGGAAUCUUCCACAAUGGACGCAAGUCUGAUGGAGCAACGCCGCGUGAGUGAAAGAAGGGUUUCGGCUCGUAAAGCUCUGUUGGUAGUGAAGAAAGAUAGAGGUAGUAACUGGCCUUUAUUUGACGGUAAUUACUUAGAAAGUCACGGCUAACUACGUGCCUGCAGCCGCGGUAAUACGUAGGUGGCAAGCGUUGUCCGGAUUUAUUGGGCGUAAAGCGAGUGCAGGCGGUUCAAUAAGUCUGAUGUGAAAGCCUUCGGCUCAACCGGAGAAUUGCAUCAGAAACUGUUGAACUUGAGUGCAGAAGAGGAGAGUGGAACUCCAUGUGUAGCGGUGGAAUGCGUAGAUAUAUGGAAGAACACCAGUGGCGAAGGCG
rnacentral:rRNA from 1 species